rnacentral:rRNA from 1 species
UAUUGCGCAAUGGGCGAAAGCCUGACGCAGCGACACCGCGUGAGGGAUGAAGGUCUUCGGAUCGUAAACCUCUGUCAGCAGGGAAGAAAGGUCACUGUGCUAAUCAGCAGUGAAUUGACGGUACCUGCAAAGGAAGCACCGGCUACCUCCGUGCCAGCAGCCGCGGUAAUACGGAGGGUGCGAGCGUUAAUCGGAAUUACUGGGCGUAAAGCGCACGUAGGCUGUAUGUCAAGUCAAGGGUGAAAUCCCACGGCUCAACCGUGGAACUGCCUUUGAAACUGGCAAACUGGAGUAUGUGAGAGGGCGGCGGAAUUCCUGGUGUAGGAGUGAAAUCCGUAGAUAUCAGGAGGAACAUCAGUGGCGAAGGUGGCCGCCUGGCACAAAACUGACGCUGAGGUGCGAAAGCGUGGGUAGCAAACAGGA